AUGACAACCUGGAUACAGUGAAGACUAUGACUGACCAGAAGCUCUGUCGAUACCACGGAUAUUCAAAAUUCAUCAUCAAAAUAUACAACUAUUCUUUUCUUAUUUUUUGACAAAUCGAGCUCAAUCAAGAAAUACAGCAAUUAUUGGAAAUUACUGGAUACAGAUGAUCACCUGCAUACAGUGUAGACUAUGACUGACCAGAAGCUCUGCGAUAAUUCUAAUAUUUUCUCCGGGUUCGCGAAAUUAGGAGAUGAAAUUAUUCUUGGUCAUCUCCUCGUCAGUCGCUAUUAUUUCAGGUUCAAGCCCAAUGAUGUAAGAUGUCGCUCACCAUUGCUAUAGAAUAUCAUGCUGUCGAUACCACGGAUAAUACAGAAUGCAUCAUCAGAAUACACAACUAUUCUUUUGUUACUUUUUGACAAAUCAAGCCCAAGCAGGGAAUACAGCAAUCCUUACAAAUUAAUGGAUACAGAUGACAACCUGGAUACAGUGAAGACUAUGACUGACCAGAAGCUCUGUCGAUACCACGGAUAUUCAAAAUUCAUCAUCAAAAUAUACAACUAU